rnacentral:hammerhead_ribozyme from 1 species
AUCUAUCUGACGAGUCUUAAAUAAGAAGAAACGCACGUUCUAGAU